GAUGAAGAACGCAGCGAAAUGCGAUAAGUAGUGUGAAUUGCAGAAUUCAGUGAAUCAUCGAAUCUUUGAACGCACAUUGCGCCCCUUGGUAUUCCAUGGGGCAUGCCUGUUCGAGCGUCAUUUGUACCUUCAAGCUUUGCUUGGUGUUAGGUGUUUGUCUCGCCUUUGCGUGUAGACUCGCCUUAAAAUAAUUGGCAGCCGGCGUAUUGAUUUCGGAGCGCAGUACAUCUCGCGCUUUGCACUCAUAACGACAGCGUCCAAAAGUACAUUUUACACUCUUGACCUCGGAUCAGGUAGGGAUACCCGCUGAACUUAAGCAUAUCAAUAAGCGGAGGA
rnacentral:misc_RNA from 1 species